rnacentral:rRNA from 1 species
AGUGAACGCUGGCGGUAGGCCUAACACAUGCGGGUCGAACGGCAGCACAGUAAGAGCUUGCUCUUACGGGUGGCGAGUGGCGGACGGGUGAGGAAUACAUCGGAAUCUACUUUUUCGUGGGGGAUAACGUAGGGAAACUUACGCUAAUACCGCAUACGACCUACGGGUGAAAGCAGGGGAUCUUCGGACCUUGCGCGAUUGAAUGAGCCGAUGUCGGAUUAGCUAGUUGGCGGGGUAAAGGCCCACCAAGGCGACGAUCCGUAGCUGGUCUGAGAGGAUGAUCAGCCACACUGGAACUGAGACACGGUCCAGACUCCUACGGGAGGCAGCAGUGGGGAAUAUUGGACAAUGGGCGCAAGCCUGAUCCAGCCAUACCGCGUGGGUGAAGAAGGCCUUCGGGUUGUAAAGCCCUUUUGUUGGGAAAGAAAAGCAGCAGGUUAAUACCCCGCUGUUCUGACGGUACCCAAAGAAUAAGCACCGGCUAACUUCGU